AACGAACGCUGGCGGCAGGCCUAACACAUGCAAGUCGAGCGAGGACUUCGGUCCUAGCGGCGGACGGGUGUGUAACGCGUGGGAACGUGCCCUUUGCUUCGGAAUAGCCCUGGGAAACUGGGAGUAAUACCGGAUGAGCCCUUUGGGGGAAAGAUUUAUCGGCGAAGGAUCGGCCCGCGUUGGAUUCGGUAGUUGGUGGGGUAAUGGCCUACCAAGCCGACGAUCCAUAGCUGGGUUGUGAGGAUGAUCAGCCACACUGGGACUGAGACGCGGCCCAGACUCCUACGGGAGGCAGCAGUGGGUAAUCUUAGACAGUGGGGGAAACCCUGAUCGAGCCAUGCCGCGUGAGCGAUGAAGGCCUUAGGGUUGUAAAGCUCUUUCAGCUGGGAAGAUAAUGACGGUACCAGCAGAAGAAGCCCCGGCUAACUCCGUG
rnacentral:rRNA from 1 species